GAGCUCAUAGGUGGGAGAUAGCUAAUACAUACCUACAAGACAUUUAUUGCAUAGUCAAACCAUGGAUCCAAAAGAACAAGUCAAUAAAUCAAAUCAUGAUGUGCAUGUGUGGCGAAUGAAUGGUGAUAACAAUGGUGAUGAUGGUGAUAACAAUGGUGAAAGUCUAAUUCUACUUGUGCUCUUUUGAGGGGGUACAUACCUUUCUUGCUCUUUUGAAACUUUUUGAGGAGAAUGAGAUGCUCUAUAUUUUCUUUUCUUUCCUCUCAGGUGGGUAUCUUGUACCCCUAAUUCUACUGUCGGACACUUGUCCAUUUUUACCUCUCGUCUCACUUUUUCUUUUCUUUCGAGGCUCCGGGCACUUGCCCCUUUUUAUUUCCUCGUAUCUUUUUUUUAGAGCACUCAUCUCAUGAGAUAAUAUAGCAAGUGGUAGUAACAAGAUAACUUGAGCAUUUAUUUCACAGGGGAAAAACAGAAAUAUUUUUGGCUAUUCUCUCCCGGAUUAGGAGUAGAAUAUUUUUGGGUGAAUCUGGAUAUGGAAAUGAGUGGAUAUAUGUGGAUGCGUACUUCCGGAGUAGAAGCAGCAUGUAUGAGUGAACGUGCAAGUGAAUCUUGAUUUAACCACAUGACAAGCUCCUAAGGGUCUACACAGCUUGACCACACUCAAUGCUCAUAAGCAGUAAAAAGUAAAUGUGUGGCUCAAAGUCUAGCAAGCAUGUAUAUAUGGCUGUGGUAGGAAUUUAAACACUCAUCAUACAGGAAGUCAUUAUGCAACAUUUUAAAGAUUUUCAAAGAUAAAAUUCUCUAGAAUUCUAGCAUCUCUAGGAACAGAUAAACAGCAGCUCAACCUUCCCAUAUCAUAUCCGUUAACGACUUAGACUCUAGAUCAAGUACUCUUCCCACAAGUUCAGGUUUAGAGCGAAUCUUAAUUAAUAACAGUCAUGCCUAAACUUGAGAGAGAUUUCAAUUUUGAGAACUAAUCAUGGCAAAGCAACUACUCAUCAUUUCCAUGUGAGAGCUUAUCAUGAGGGUUCAUAGCAAACUUUAUUUAUUUAUUUAUUUAGCAAACUAAGAAAAGAUAUAUAUAUAAGCACAAAAUCUUUAUUUGGGUUUUUAUGAUCAUUCAUCUUUUUAUUAUUUGAGUAAAAUAUAAACGUAAGUAGAACACUUAGCUGGAUAAAUGGGGGUGCUCUCCCCCAAGCUGGAUUUUGACGUAAUUUCUUCUGAUGUAGCUAGCACGUGGCGGGGGUGUAUUUGAAUGUCGGCAGCACCCUGACAGCGAUUAUGAUGUCCUCCGUCUGCUAGUCUUCUUUGAUCCUUAAAUUAUGUGGAGCUCAAAUAGACAAUAAAGCUUUGUGGAACUAGUUAAGUGUUAGCAUAAAUAUCUAGCCUUUAUCAUGUUGAGCCUCCUCAAUAAAUGUUACACUCUUUGGUAGGAUCAUAAAUUUAUUUUUAUAUUUUCAUUUUUAUAGGACAGGGAUAUAUUUAUUUUGUUUUUACGCCACCACAGUGAAUGUACUUAUGGGUUUUAUGCCAUAAGCAUACUCACAUGGGGCUUACUAUUUUUAACAUUUUUAUUUUCUUUUCGAGAUGAUAUGAACCUUAUUAACUAAGCAAACUAUUUUAAAUAAUUGAAAGGAAAAAGAUAACUACCAAGUUUACCUCUUGGCAAGGCGUUCGGUGUUUUUAAGUCUUCCGAACGGGACUCUCCAUUUUUCUCAGUCGUCCUGGGAUUCGUUGGAUGGCGUAGUCGGUGGUUCCGACGGUGCUUCCUCUUCGUGUAUAACUAUCUUCUCUUUCCACACCUGACUCGGUGCUACGGUCUCCUCAGGACAGUUCUAUUCAAGUUGUAUAUCUUCAGACCUUACCACUUCUCCUUCAUAGUCUGCCCAUCCGUCCUUGAUGAUUUGCCUCCUCUGGUUGCGGUUGCGUCUUCGUCUUCUUGUCCUGACCUUCUUAGAGUCUUCAAUGAUAUAGUUAGGAUCAGUAAAAUAGCGGCGUACCUUCUCAGAGGGAAAAUGCAUGUGGACUUCUCCGGUUCCAAUGUAGAUGAUUGCUUUAACGGUGCUGAGGAACGGUCUCGCAAGGAUGAUGGGUGAAUUGUACUCGUCUUCUCCGAUCUCAAUAACCUUCAACCUUUCGGAAUGUCUAAUAUGCUAUCUGGAGCUGAAUGUAUGUCGGUUUUAGGGGCAUGGUUCCGAACAGGAGCUGAUAGGUGACUGCGGCCAUUAUGUUGAAGUCAGAUCCGGUGUCGUAGAGUAUCUUCUGUAAGAAAUAUUCGUUGAUUGUGCACUCGAUGCUUGGAACACCAGGGUCGUCCUUCUUGAUCAAGAAAGGCGACUUGAGUUGACGAUCUUAACCUCCUUGAACUGGAGUGACCAUCUUAGCUGACUCAGUCCACAUUUGCUUGUUCCUGCUCCCCCUGUUGAUCCUCUUCCUUGGUUCAUGUCGGGAUUGCUCUGAGAUUUGUGUAGUCUUGUUCUUGAAGGAAAACGUCUCCGUCCUCCCCUUGAUGUAGAAAUUGAUCUUGGCAGCACUAGCGUAGAUGAAAGCUCGUGAGGUGUUCAGGAAUGGCCUCCCUAGGAUGAUGGGUGCCCUCUCAUCAGUAUCAGUCUCUAUCACCAUGAAGUCUGCUGGAGCGUAUAAGGUACCAACUCGGACGCAGAUGUUCUUCAAUAUUCCCUUUGGGAAACUUAGCGUCCGAUCUGCAAGCUCCAAACACAUGGUUGUUUCCAAUAAAGGAUAUGUAAAGAUUUUUCAUAGAGUACCCUGGCAUAAUAUUGACGUUGGAGCCAAAGUCGCAGAGUGCUUCUAGGAAGUCCACCAUGCUGAUGGAGAUCGGGAUGACGGGGCGUCCUGGAUUGUCUCUCUUGACCGGCAGAAGGUCAGCAAUUACUUCCACAACGGGGUUACUCCAGUAGUUGUGUCCUCAAGCAUCUCAGGGCAGUGAUUGCCUGAGUGUCCAGUAUCUCCAGUGUGUUUGUGCUCGUAGAUCUAGGUUCUUCACUUGGUGGAGUCUGGGAGUUAUAAAAGUCCUUCAUAUUUUGCUCCAAGUGUACCUGCUCAUGGAGACAAGGCAGAGAUCAAGUGCAUGGGCCCUGUUGGUGGAAAACACCAACAGAACCAAAAGUGUAUUUGUUCUCUCUAACCUUAAGCAUAGUGAGCAAGACAAAGUUGAUGGAUAAUAAGACCAUGAGUGUAACAUUUAAAACAUUUGUCAGAUCAGAUCACUCAACCUUAUGGAAAGAUAAUCUAUCUAAGUAAAUGUUUUUUUCUUUACAUGACUAUCAUUUUCCAAAGAUUGAGUGUGCAACAUUUUAGCUCAUAUGAUUAGGAUUGUGGGAUCACAAAGGUGGAAAGACUAAACAUGUUGAAUCGAUUGGGUUGGUUAAUCUAGAGUUGUAAAUGUUACAUGUUUGUCUCUUUUACUCAUGUGAAUGCCAGAAAUAAGGAGGACCUUAUAGAAGUGAUAGUCAAGUACCUUAAGAUGUUACCUUUCUUGAAGAGUGAUGGUACAGUAUUACCUUAUGGAAGCUUUCCUUUCUUUGCGGUUGUGCAUCGUGUUGGUGGCACCCUCCAUGCAUCAUCUCUUGUGAGCUAUGUCUUCCUUGUGUAAAUUGUUAAACUUCAUGUGUUUAUCUCUUUGUCUCCAAUGUGAGUUUAUCUCAGGACUUCCCAGGUUGAUGUUGAAAGUUUUUUUUUUCUGCAGGGGUUAGUCUGACAAAAUAUACCAAUGUCUACAUAAGCAGUUUUUAGUUCAAUAACCAAACUAGACUCCAUGUCUAAUUAGAUUAAGGAAGGCUGUUUAACCUAAGCACCAUGCUUAAUUUAAAAACCAAUAGAAGUAUGUACAGUACUUCCAAACUAACACUUACUAGGAUAAACAAAGGUAGCGUGAUGGCUUUUAUAGAGAUCUAUUCAAGUGGAGAUGAAGUAGUGUGAUUACUAUUUAACAAAUUGAGCAUGUCUCAAAGGUAGGGACAACCAACAUAGCAACAUGGCAAAGGAUGUUUUUAUGUAAAGUACUCCCCCAAGCUUGAAUUUCGCAAAAUUCAAGUUUGGAUGAAUUUAAUUCAAUGUUGUAUGAUGAUUGGUUGGACAUACCUUGUGCUUGUCAUUCAUCCGAUCUUCUUGCUCCAAUCCUGGAAAGGUUAGUGACAAGAAUACCCGAAGGAAUAUUUUUACAAUUAUCCUUAUAUGCUCAAUACACAAGGUAAUGUUGCAAAUAAUUAACAGCUCAUGUUACGAUCUAAUCAGUGCUUGUUUUAGGACACUAAGCUUGUCCUUGGGAAACCAUCAAUUUAUGUUAGUGAAGUGGUUUCCCCUCCAACGCUGACCUAUAUCAAGAUCAACUCAACGAGAUCUGCAAUAUUUAAUAUAGACAUAUGCAUCGACAACCACCCUUUUAAAGUUUUUAUAAAUAGAAAAGAUGAGGUGGUUGGAGAUCUCGAAUGUGGUGAUGUUGGAGAGACCAAUGGAUUGUGAAGAUGUUGCAUAUGAGCAUGGAGUAAAUGAAGUGGCUAUGAAAUAAAUUCCAUGCUCAUUAAUGCUUAGAGUGAAAUCCAUGUGGUAUGGUGAAAAUGAUAAGGUGAGUGUGGUAAAAAAAGAAAAGAAAAAGGAUACACGGACGACUUGGUUCGAAACUAGCACAGCUACCGUUCCCCGGCAACGGCGCCAGAAAGCUUGUUGGGUAUUUUAAACGCAAACAGAAAAAUCUGCAACCGCACGGAUACCGAUGUAGCCUUCACCCGGGAGUAUUCCAGAGUAUCGAUUUUCCACAGGGAACGUGAGUGUACUAAUUAAGAAUCAAGAUCGCCCAAGAAUAACUAUAUAAUUGUUUUUGGUGUGAAGAGAGGAAGUUUCCUGAGAGUUCUCUAGUUGAUCUAAGAAUCAAGAGUUACUUCAAGAUUAUCUAUAUCGGGACAUCAGAGCACUAACCACAGAAAGAGAUGAGAAGGGGGCUAGGAAGGUCUGACUACGGUCCUACAAACACCGAUCCGAACGUGGUGGAAUACGUCGACCGUUAGGGCUGUCACUACCCUAAGGCUACCACAACAAUCCGUAGGAUUGGGUGCAAUUCCAGGUAAUUGCAAGACUAAACACCACGUCUAAUCUAUUAAUUACUACUCUAGCGUUAUAAAGACUAGAGCACUUGAUGCAAGCGGGAAUCCAAUAAAUAACUUGAAUGUAAAUAAAAGUAAUUAGAGAACUCAGGAGUUAUGAAUUGAAGAACCUGGAGAACGAUGAAGAACGAACCAGAUGCUGCAAAAGUAUAAUGUUGAGGAAGAUCCGACAGAUCCGGCUCCUCCUCCGCUCUCCUCUUCUCUCUCCCUAUUUUCUAGAUUACAACUAGAACUAACUAGAACUAGAACUAGAAGAACUAGAACUAGAACUAGAUGAACUAGAACUAGAUCUAGAUGAACUAGAGGUAGAACUAGAAGAACUAGAGGGAUCCUCUCUACUUGGAUGAAGAAUUGAAACCCUAGCUUUGAUUCUGUAGAAGAGGUAUGAUCUCCAGGGGCCAGGGGGGUCUGGUUUUAUAGUCCCUUCAAGUGAAUCUGGGCCGUCGGAUCAAACCGACAUUGAUCGUGUGGUUUUCCUUGAAGUAUUAGAUCGGUGGAGCGUUGUCCCCGAAUUGGACUCUGUUUGGUCCAGAGGGGAGGGCGGGCGCCCAGUAAGGUAGGGCGGGCGCCCAGUGCCUGAGCCCUCUCGGCCUCCGCUUCGGUCCCGUGGCUUCUGGAGUCUUCUAGAUGGUAGAUAAUUGUGUGGCACGUUAAUAUCUCUAUGUAAACCCGACGUGUGGGCUUUUCUUCCGUAUUUCCUGAUAACCCCCUGCAGAAAUAGACAAACACCAAAACUCGUGGAAUUCUGUCAGAUAAAACCCUAAGUCUAGGUGUUGGUUGCAUAUAGGUCCUUUUCUAUGAUUAGUUGAUGGUUAAUUGUGAGCAUUAAGGACCGUCAACACAGCCUCUCAUGGUCUUCUCGUUCAUCAGAUGGACGUGAAGACUGCUUUCCUAAAUGGAGAGCUAGAAGAGGAGAUCUACAUGGAUCAGCCUGAUGGGUUCGUAGUAGAAGGUCAAAGGGGCAAGGUGUGUAAAUUAUUGAAGUCUUUGUAUGGCCUAAAACAAGCUCCUAAACAAUGGCACGAAAAGUUUGAUAAGACCAUGACGUCAACAGGCUUUGUUGUCAAUGAGGCCGACAAAUGUGUCUACUACCGUUUUGGUGGAGGAGGAGUAAUCCUGUGCCUAUAUGUGGAUGACAUCUUAAUAUUUGGCACGAACCUCAAUGUGAUUGAGGAAGUCAAAAACUUUCUGUCCAAGAACUUUGACAUGAAGACUUGGGAGUGGCUGAUGUGAUUUUAAACAUUAAGCUACAAAAGGGAGAAAAUGGUGGGGUUACUCUUAUGCAGUCCCACUAUGUUGAAAAGAUUCUAAGUCGCUUUGGCUACAGUGACUGUAAACCCGUGUCCACUCCCUUUGAUCCAAGUCUAAUUCUAAGAAAGAACAAAAGGAUCAUGAGAGACCAAUUGAGGUACUCCCAAAUCAUUGGCUCACUAAUGUACCUAGCCAGUGCAACAAGACCUGACAUCUCAUACGCUGUGAGCAAGUUGAGCUGGUUUGUAUCAAACCCGGGAGAUGAUCAUUGGCGUGCUCUUGAGAGAGUAAUGCGGUAUCUAAAGGCAACGGCAAGCUAUGGCAUACACUAUACCAGGUACCCAAAUGUACUGGAGGGUUUCAGUGAUGCAAAUUGGAUAUCUGAUGCUGACGAGUUAAAAGCCACCACUGGGUAUGUGUUUACCCUUGCGGGUGGUGCUGUUUCCUGGAAGUCUUGCAAGCAGACAAUCAUCAUAAGGUCAACUAUGGAAGCAGAACUUGCAGCACUGGAUACCGCCACUGUUGAAGCCGAAUGGCUUUGAGAACUCCUGAUGGAUUUGCCGGUGGUUGAAAAACCUGUGCCCGCCAUCUCCAUGAACUGUGAUAAUCAAACUGUGAUAAUCAAAGUGAACAGUUCUAAGGAUAACUUGAAGACCACAAGGCAUGUAAAGCAGCGCCUAAAGUCUGUCAGAAAAUUGAGAAACUCGGGAGUGAUAGCGCUGGACUAUGUCCACACGUCUAAAAAUCUGGCAGAUCAAUUCACCAAGGGGAUGUCACGUAAUGUGAUAGACAGUGCAUCGGUUGAGAUGGGACUGAGACCCACUUAAGUUUGCUAUAGUGGUAACCUGCUCUAUGUGAUCGGAGAUCCCGUGAAUUAGAGUGGUGAAACAAGCUAUGAGUAGACUAAGGGAAAAGACCCUUGACUAAAGUCCCAAUCUUUCAGAUAUGCAUUUCUUUUCCAAGCUGUAAGGAAGGAUGGCAUACGCCUUAAUGUGAUCCGAGUGGCUUAUUUGAGCAGGGAUGUCGGCCUACAGGACAUCCUAAAAGGAACACACCUAUGUGAGUUAGACUGCUGGUCCCAGUCUAUGAGAUUUGGGUGAUCUCUAGAUACUCACGAGAAGGCACGAAAUUUGACUUAUAUGCUCCACCCGAGGAGGUGCUCUAGGCAGCCUUGUAUCGGUAAAGAAUUUGAGUGAACCUCAUUUCACACAAAACUGUCAAUUCAAAGCUUAGUCCAUUGAUCAGUUGUGAAUGAGUGUAAGCUCCUUUUCUAGAUGGAAGUUCAACUUAACAGUCUCCAUCGAAACACCGGUAUAUCAAACAAGCUCAAAACUGAAGGCAUUAACUAUGUACCUUUGACGUUUGGUGGGGAUUGUUAGAGUAAUUGGGCCAGGCCCAUUCUAAUAAUUCAAUAAAACCUCAAAGGUCCACAAUUAGUGUUAGUUGCAAAAGUGAUUAGUACCAAAUGGAUUAAUCACUAGCAAGGCAAUCAACUUAAAUAGUGAGCCUUGGGAUGCUCCAAUAGUCAAGUUGAGGAGGAGAACAGGGAAGCCUCACGCGCGCGCCGCCGCCGCCGCCGAGCCGAGCCCCGCCGCCCGCCCGCCCGCCCGCGACGCGCCGAGGGCGUGGGCGUGGCCUGGCCUGGCCUAGCCUAGCCAGGUGGGGUUUUGCUACUCGGCCCAACCGAGAGAAAACCCUAGCCGCCGCAGUCCAACGGCCAAAGGGGGAAACCCUAGCCGCCGCCAGCUGCUCAACCGCCAACUCCCAACCACUUUGUCUAGGUUCAUCCCCCCGGACAGGGUAACGGGUGGGAGCCGACAGGGGCGCGCCUAUAUAAAGGCCCCUGUCUGCACACUACGGUUUCAUCCCUUUUGUGUCCAUCUCCCCUCUCCAGCCGUCACCUUCACUUGAGCUCGAGCUGCUGUGCUGCAUCUCCGACCAGAGCCUCUGCGAGUACAGAGGACUCUGGUAGCAGGCCUCCGGAACUUCUCCCGUCAAGCGUACUCUGCUCGGGGUAGGCGGGAAAUUAAGUUUUUGGGGAGCACCUUCCGGGGUGCGACUUCUUUCUGGUGUCCCAACGUGACUGCGCCUGCUUCACCUUCGUCAACUGCUGCUGUGAUGGCUGUCGGUACCAGAAGUACCCCUGCUGCCGGGAAUUACGCCACCAACGACAACACUGUAGGAGGCGGUAGCGACGUCAACAUGACUAGUGGCUCACUUUCCGCGGGUACCGGAUGUGCCACGCUAGGAUAUAAUGCUAAUACUCUCUAUGCGCUUUAUUUUGUUACUAUAGUUCUAUUACUUCGCAUAAAAUAUUUUGCUAGAAGUAGUAGCAGUAGCAAAUAUGAAGCUGUCGCUUGUAUGAUACUUGUGUUAGUAUAUUGGUUAUCGUUUUUAUGGAAUAAUGCCUGGUGUAAAAUGACUAAAUAUCCAACAUAUUCUUGGAAUGACUUACAAUUUGUAAUAGAGAGAGUAUUUUUUAUAGUUGCAGAUAUGUUGGCCAUUAUUAUUGCCAGAGUAAAAAAGGAUGGACAAAUAAAAGGGGUAGCACCUAAUUUGGUAUAGGAUGGGUCAUCUAUCUUGCAAUACGCAUAUGACAUGUUGUUAUAUUUAGAUCAUGAUAUUGAACAGCAAAGAACAUGAAGUUGAAGUUGCUUCUAUGCUCUUUUGAACAAUUAUCGAGUCUCAAAAUUAACUUUCAUAAGAGUAAAAUCUUUUUUGCUUCGUAGAAGCAAAACAUAGUAAAUAUAUUUACUCAAAUAUUUUUUGUUUGCAAAGCUAGGCUCUUAUCCUUUUUGUUACCUUGGUGUUCCAAUGCAAGUUAAAUAACAAACAUUGGAAGAAGGUGGCGGAACAUAUAGAAAAAAAGCCUAGCAAUUGGAAAGGAAAACAUCUGUCUGUUGGGCAUAGACUGGUGUUGAUUAACUCAGCCAUGUUAAACCUACCUAUGUUUAUGCUCUCAUUCUUCAAAAUCCCUAAAGAAUUUUUGAAGAAAAUAGAGUAUUACAUAUCAAGGCUUUUUGGCAAACGAACACCAUAAAAAGAAAUAUAGACUAGCUAAAUGGACUUUAUUAUGUCAGCCCAAAGAAAAAGAAGGUCUAGGUAUUCUAAACCUAGAAUUACAAAAUAAAUGUCUUUUGAGUAAAUGGCUCUUUAAGUUGUGUAAUGAGUAGGGGGUUUUGUAACACCCCAGUGCUAUGGUUGCAUUAAUCAUGUGCAUACCAUGAGCAUCAUCAUCUACUCAAAGCAUAUCAUGAUCAUCAUCUACCUUGAGCCAUGUCAUUCUAUGCUAAAAUGUGUUUUAAAUUGCUUAAAUAGGCUUCCUAUGCUUAUAAUUGAAUGAACCAUGCUUGUGUUUGUGCUCAAUGCCUUGGUAAUUAGUUUAUCUAUGCUUAACUUAACUUUAGGAACAAUGUUCAUGUUGGUCACUUCUCCAAAAUAUGCCUUUAAGUCAUACUUAUGAAAAUAGGACCUAGAAACCUCUUUUGCUUAGGCUUUUAAAAAGUGUUCCAUAAAAUGUUUGCAUGUCAAAACUUUCUACAGCAAAGUUGUAGCAAAUUUUAUAAGGAACAAAAGUUGUUUUAUGGCCAUCUCAUGAAAAUGAUCACAAAUAGCUCAAAAGUGACCCACAAGGCAAAUUUGGGGCUGUUUCCAACACUUAGAAAAUUUCUCUAAGUCUGGAAUCACUGCAGUUUGCUCGAGGGGGUAUUGUUCAUCUUCUAGUUUGAAUUCUAGGCCGAAUCAAACUAUGAUCUUGUAAGCAAUGUUGGAGUACUCUUGUAGCUCUCCAGCAUAGAGCAAUUAGCCAGCAAAAUCAUCGAGUGGUUUAGGAGAUAAUCAUCGUGCAAAAUCGAGUUUCAGUCGGUGAUCGCGAGGUCUGAUGCAGAGCUGAGCUCGCCGUCGUGGACGCCCAGCGCGACAUCUGUCCGCCAGAUGGCACCCAUACGCCGGCGACGGCCCCGCUCGUCAGGUCGUCGACGUUGGCAUGGAUGCCACGGCGCCCCGCACUCACUCAGCGCCCGUCCAUUCUCCUCCUCCGCUCUCUCGCGCUCGCUCUGGUGGAAAACGCCGUCGCCAUUGCCGCCGAGAGCUUCACCCGCUCCUCGCGCCCUCGUCUCUGCGUCUUGCUUCGCCUCCGAGCACCUCCAAGUCCGCCUCGAGCUCCUCCAUCUUCUCCACCCUUCAGUUGGACGAGAUCUCCCCGAGGUGAGCGGCAUUUCGCGAGUUCUCCGUCGUCGGGUUCGCGGCCGUCGCGACACCGACUCCGGCGAACCUCGCCGCUGCUCCACCCUUGCUUCCUUUCUUUUCGCUGAGUAGCGUUAGGUUAUGCUUAGGUCUUGGCGUCGGUCCACACCACGCCAUUUCGGCUAUGGCCUCACCGUCGCGCGGGAACACGGCCGCUGCACCGCCGUGCUCACCGCCGACGAGCACCUCGCACGUGAGGAGGUUCACCGGAGCCGUUAGGGUUAGGCGUUCCUACCUCGAAAGCUCCGCGCUGACUCACUAAUGCUGUAGCCACCCUUCCCCGACGCUCUACCGGUCGGAGAUGGCCGGCGUAAGCCGGGGUAGCUCCGCCGUGGCGCCAUGGCCGACGGCGACCCCUCUCUGUAGCCGAAACCCUAGCGCCACCUACCUCAAUCGACGCGGAAUCUUUCCAGGAGCACGUUGGUGCCCUUGGAUCCGCUGGAGGAGCUCACCGUCGGUGAGCGUUUGCCGGCGAAAGAGUCCUCUAUUUUUGGUGUCACUGACGCGCGGGUCCCGUUUGCCAGUGACUCAACGGUCACCCCCUUUCUUUUAUUCAAAUCUGGAUUUUUGGCUUUCUUGCAAAAAUCAUAACUCCUGUUUCCGAGAUCCAAAAAUUGUGAAACAAAUUUUGUGGUAUUCCUUGAGAUGGCUAGUUUUUAAUAAAAAUAUAAAAUGAACCAUGUUUUCUGGGAAAAUAUUUAUUAAGGAUUUAAUCUUGUUAUUCUUUGAUAAAUGCAUAUCUAUUGUGAUAUUGCUUAGUUUGCUCUGAAAAUUUUUUGGUAGCCUCUGCCUAGUAUUAGAGUGCUUUGGUAAAUAUUUCAUGAUUUUUGGUGUACUGCAGCUUUGAUAUGCAAUUUAUGAUUGAAAUGUGGCUUGUUUCUUUAAUUAAAUCACAUAAAAUAAUUGGUACUUAUGCUGGUGCUCUACUUUGGUAGUAAACCUGUUUAUAGCAUUCCUCAUGUGUAAAUAAUCUGAAAUCUGUUGUUUGGCAAAAUACAAGUCAUGUUUCCCAAUUUAUGAAAUAAGCACCUAGCUACAUGGUAAAUAUAUAUCUUUAUUUUGGUAUGUGCAUUUGCUCUGAAAUUUUUAUGGUGUUACUGUAAUGCUAUACUUGUGCCUCUGUAAUUUUUGUAGAUUUUUCUGAGCACUUUGACUAGUACCUUGUAAUUAUGCCCUUUUCUAGAAUUAAUUAAUAAAUGCCUUGUUAAGUAAAUAUUUGAGGGUGAUCAUUUGGUGUUCUGGUAACCUGGUGAUAUGCUUGUGCUCAUAAGCCAUGUAGUUGGCAUGGUUUAUGUCUUGGUCAUGUCAUCAAAUAAUUAAUUAAAGGGUUAAAAGCUGUUCUGGGCAGCAAGGGAAUAAUUUAACUUUUGAUUAAUGAUAACUUGCUUUUCUGGGAAACUUGUCUAAAUCAAAGUUGUUGUAAACUUAUUGAACUAGCUGUGUUUUAAAUUUGGGAUCAUUUGGUCCAGUAGUUUGAAAGUUAUGGCUGUUCCAAGUUAGGUUCCAGAAAUAGGUGCUCUCUGUUUUUCUGGGACAGAGUAUGGAACUUUGUUUAAUUGACAAGUUUAUUUUAUGAAUAUUGUUGUGAUGUUUAAAGAUGAUUUGUAGACAAUUUCAUAAGCUUUCCAGAAUGUCUUCACUUAUCUUUGUUGGAGCUGUCUAUUAUUAGUUAUGAUCUGUUUACUGAGUACUCCUGUUGUGUGUUGCUUACUGGUUUAGUAUCAUGAUAUGUUUUGGGUUAAGUAACUUGUUAGCUUGUGAGAGCUUGUUAUAACUGUGUUACUCCGUAAGUGAGUGCCCAGUGAGUCCAUUAUGUUAUCAAGCAUUCAUUCUUUUGUAUGCACACUUUCUUAUUCACCGAGCAUGCAAUAGGUGCAUCGGACGCGGCUGUCUCUUUCAAAAGUUUACUUAAUAUGUUAUAUCUAUUGAUGCAUUAAGUUUAGGAGUUGUGGUGAAAACCUUGAUGCACUUUAUUCCAUCCUUGUCCAGAUAAUUCAUCCUACCCUGGUUAUAGAGUUAGGAUCGAGUAGCAGUCUAGUCAUGCUUAAACGGUAGAAGUCGGGUGAUUUCCUGUCACCUGCGCGAGAUAGGGUUAUGUCGGAUCACGAUGGUCUAUAUGUGCUAUCGUGGAUGGAACCUGAUUAAUUUGACUUAAGCCGGACGGAGUUUUGCAAGUUUGUAGUAACUCCGUCUGUGGCAGCUAAGGACCGAUCGUUGUACGUCCUCUUGUCAUGUUGAACGCAUGCCUAACACUUAGUUGGCCGGAUAACUCGUUCCGACCGCGAAGUCGAGUAGUAUGACUCAGGCCGGAAGACCGGCAAGUAUAAAGUGCGCACUACCGGAGAAAGUGCGGUGUGCGGGGGACCAUUGGCGUAAGUCCAAAGGCAGGUGAGUUAAAAUUCCUGACCUCCCUGGCAGAGUGGUAGCCCUGGGAGUGCGGCGCUGAUCGGAGCCGCGAUUCCUGAGUUGUACCAAAGGUGACCCGUUGGCUCUCCGGCAGGGGAUGCUUGGGUGAGUGCUAAUAAUAACCCUCCAGCUGGAUAGGAAUUCGAUUCGAAUCGCCGUCUCUCCCGGUUAGUGAGAACUUGACAGAGCAGCGGCAAACGUAGCAUCCACUAAUGAACUUGGUUCCUGGAAAUGAUGAUAGCAGGAAGAACAUAUGAUGAACUUUAUAUGGUUAUUAUUGCUUGUAAUAAUCAAGUGAUGUGUUGUAGUACAUGUGCUAAUCUAGUGGUAGGCUGAUGAUAAAUAAAUAUGAUGCUCUCAAAAUAACUUAGUCGUAAGUUAAGCUUUUGGCAAAAGGUGAGUCAACCAGCUCCACUUGAUAUUUAGCCUUGCAUGAUCCUUGGUGUCUUUUAUGUUUUACUAGACGGGUAAGUCUAGCUGAGUAGAUUCUCGUACUCAGGGUUUAUUCCCACCUGUUGCAGAUGACAUCUUCUAUGACGGUUUCUGCAAGACCUGUCUCCAUCCCGCUGGGGAUGAGGACUAACCGUUGGGCACGGUUCUCUAACAACUUCGUACCUGUUGCUUUUGGAAGGAUGGUGUAGACUCUGGCAGUAACUCAAACUUAUUAACUGAACUUUGGAAAGUGUGUGUAACUAUUUCGCUUCCGCUACUUCGAACAAGUGUUGUAAUAACUUAAUACUCCGAUGUGGUGCCGCUUCGACGGCAAUGAAUGACUAUGUAGCAAUCAUUUUGUUUAUGUUGAACUAUUACGAUCUUGGUUUGUUGCGAGUUGGUUUGAAGUCCUUCGUGAUUUCAAUUGACUACCGGGAUUAUAUGGGCUCAAGUUUGGAAACUUGAUUGCUUGUCGAUCGUUUCUACACUUGAACUCUUAUAAUUUGUCGGUUCUGUGACAGCUGGCAUCGGAGCAAGUUCAGCAUUAUAAAUGCAGCAUUUGUGUAUUUAAAACAAAAGAGUUUUUAAAUAAAAUGGUGUAAAACAAAUAAUUAAGUUAUGGCAGUGGUCGAAUCCUCCUUUCCCACAUAAGGACUCUAGGUGGCUAAUUAAGUACUGACUUGGGGGUUUUAUUUAUGCAUCUCCCGCAGUACUCAGGUAUGGAUGUGUGAUGACCGCACUAUGCUACCCUGUGGUCUAAUGGUGGAGGUAGCCUUCAUAUGUGAAUUAGCCACAUAUGUCGCUAGAUUUAAAUUAUGCAACGUCGCACCUACGCCUUGGUAAGUGUGAGCUGUGAGAGCAUGAUCGUCCAAACGGCGGUCUAGGGGAGUGUUCGCGGUGGUUUUCUGGAGUGGUUACAUGUCGAAACCAUGGAACCACGAAAGAAACUUAAUUGGGGAGUAUUUAAUUUCUCGGGUAGUUGUGGUGUCAUUGUUUGUGCAUGUUGGGCAUGUCCAAGCAAUGUGCACUUAGUUUACUGCUUUCUUGAGUGAUAUAUUGGGAAUUGUUGGGCUGAAAUGAAGUUUUCUGCAGGUACUCUAACAGCACACGUGUAAAUCGAUAGUUAUCGUAUCGAGAGCCGAAUGUAUGCCACCGUAUAUCUGUUAGAAUAUUGAUUUUCUAAGUUUGUGAGGACGUACGGUUCGUGCAUGCAUCAUGUCGCAUUCAUACAUACAUUCUGUCUACCCUUCCCUUACAAUUGCGUCCCUUUUUAAAUAAAUAAAUGUUGCUUAAACUAAUUCUCUUUUACCCAUGGUAUUCCUAUUCCUUUCCACAGAUGGACGCACCCGCUUCACCCCGUCCCAGUGACACUUUCUUGCACGAGUUUGGUACUCCUACCCUGCUCUGGAGAGUGUUACGGACUGUUGGGUAUACUGAGCCACCUCAGUAUUCUUGGUGGGAGAUGGAGAGCACAGGAGGGAUUCAGUGGUUUGCUGUGCAGGGCGUUGUCCCUCCACAUGGGGACAAGCCUGCAUGGACAGGCUGGACUUGCAGCUCAGAUGGGCAGACUCCCUGGGAGGCAGCUCAGGUUGCAGCCCAGACUAUCCUGCUCGAUAUCUGUCAGAGGUGUGGAGAUGAGCUGACGGGAGGACCAGCGGCUUCCAUUCCCAGUGCUGACCCAGCAGCAGCAGAGUGGAAACAGGCUGACGGUUGUGCUUUGGUUCGAGGCAGGGGAGAGAGGGCUGAGAGUUCUAGUCCUGCUAUGAGUGCUAUGAUGGCUGUGCUCAAGCUGAUCAGUCAGCGAGAGGGCACCUAUGCACAGGUGAUGGUGACUGUUCGUAGGGCCCAGGAGAUGCAGCGGAAGGCUAAAAAGCGUGCUCGCAAGUUUUGCAAGCAAGCUAGACUCCUGGAGCAAGCUCAGAAGGACCGCAAUGACUGGGAGGACAUUGCGGAGUACCGUAGGCAGUAGUGGGUGAAGGCCAUUAGAGAGAGAGAUCAUAAGCAGGAUCAGAUGAGCCAGUUAGCUAGAGAGAGGGAGACCUUACAGGAGCGCUUGGUGCAGCUCACCCGUGAAAGGGAUACUGCACUCCGCGUGUCGGAGAACAGGCGCCAAGCAUGGGAGAUGCACCGAGUUCAGUCGCUUGAGCGGGAGAACUAUCUGCAGGAUCAGAUUGAGGCUGGUCUUGUGGAGAUUCACCGUCUCAACAACUUGCUACACCCUAUUCCUCGCCCUAUACCCGUGUAUCCAGAGGUGGAACCUCAGGUGAUUGUGGCCGAUGAUGAUGGUAUGGAGGUCGAUGGACCAGCAGCGGCUGCACCACCUUUGCACGAGGACGUGGAGGACGAGGAGCUCGAGCCGGUUAGCGAUGAGGAUGGAGAGGCGAUCUUCGACGCUGACUCGGAUGACGAGCCUGGAGUGUAGGGAGUAGUGGGUAGUGUUAUGUGAGGAUCUUUUGUAGUUGGCAGCUAGUGGUGAUGCUUUUGUAACCAUGUUGUAAUCUGGAACCUUGACCUUGACUCAUGGCAUGUACUGUGAUGGUGUAAUAACUUUAUGGACCCGAGGUGCAAUCUUAACAUGUUUGUUAUGCUAUGACGACGUUUUCCGUUGUGGUGCAUUUUGCGGAUAUCUCUGUCAUGUGUUGGAUUGGUGAUGUUGUUUUGUGGAAUUGAAUAAUUGUGCCUUUUCUGUAAAUCUAUUCUCUCGAAUACUUUUAGGCAUAAAUAUAAGUUCUUCUGCGGCAAAUCUUGUCAUCAUCAAUGCUCACUGACUGUGUCUUUACAGAUGUCUCGUGGCACCCGAGGUGCGGAACAGCGUGCAAACAUGAAUCCACCCCCUCCUCCUCCACCACCAAAUCCAGCUGAGCUGAUGCAAAUGAUGGUGGAAAAUCAGAGGAUGCUCACUGAGACCAUCAAUCGGAUGGCAAAUCCGGGUGGUCGUAAUGCAUAGAAGGGCCCGCUCCUAACCAGUACAGUAGCUUCAAGGACUUCAUGGAUACUGUUGGGUAUUUUAAGCGCAAACAGAAAAAUCCGCAAGCGCACGGAUACCGAUGUAGCCUUCACCCGGGAGUAUUCCUGAGUAUCGAUUUUCCACAGGGAACGUGAGUGUACUAAUUAAGAUCCAAAAUCGCCCAAGGAUAACUAUAUGAUUAUUUUUGGUGGGAAGAGAGGAAGUUUCCUGAGAGUUCUCUAGUUGAUCUAAGAAUCAAGAAUUACUUCAAGCUUAUCUAUAUCGGGACAUCAGAGCACUAACCACAGAAAGAGAUGAGAAGGGGGCUAGGAAGGUCUGAGUACGGUCCUACAAACACCGAUCCGAACGUGGUGGAAUACGUCGACCGUUAGGGCUAUCACUACCCUAAGGCUACCACAACAAUCCACAGGAUUGGGUGCAAUUCCAGGUAAUCGCAAGACUAAACACCACGUCUAAUCUAUUAAUUACUACUCUAAUGUUUCAAAGACUAGAGCACUUGAUGCAAGCGGGAAUCCAAUAAAUAACUUGAAUGUAAAUAAAAGUAAUUAGAGAACUCAGGAGUUAUGAAUUGAAGAACCUGGAGAACGAUGAAGAACAAACCAGAUGCUGCAAAAGUACAAUGUUGAGGAAGAUCCGACAGAUCCGGCUCCUCCUCCGCUCUCCUCUUCUCUCUCCCUAUUUUCUAGAUUACAACUAGAACUAACUAGAACUAGAACUAGAGGAACUAGAACUAGAACUAGAUGAACUAGAACUAGAUCUAGAUGAACUAGAGGUAGAACUAGAAGAACUAGAGGGAUCCUCUCUACUUGGAUGAAGAAUUGAAACCCUAACUUUGAUUCUGUAGAAGAGGUAUGAUCUCCAGGGGCCAAGGGGUCUGGUUUUAUAGUCCCUUCAGAUGAAUCUGGGCCGUCGGAUCAAACCGACAUUGAUCGUGUGGUUUUCCUUGAAGUAUUAGGUCGGUGGAGCGUUGUCCCCGAAUUGGACUCUGUUUGGUCCAGGGGGGAGGGCGGGCGCCCUCAGGACUAGGGCGGGCGCCCUGUCCGAGAGGCCUCUCGUCUUCCGCUUUGUUCCCGUGGCUUCUGGAGUCUUCUAGAUGAUAGAAAAUUGCGCGGCACGUUAAUAUCUCUAUGUAAACCCGACGUGUGGGCCUUUCUUCCAUAAUUCCUGAUAAUCCCCUGUAGAAAUAGACAAACACCAAAACUUGUGGAAUUUUGUCAGAUAAAACCCUAAGUCUAGGUGUUGGUUCCAUUUAGAUCCUUUUCCAUGAUUAGUUGAUAGUUAAAUGUGAGCAUUAAGGACCGUCAACAAGCUCCCCCAAGCUUAACCUUUGCUCGUCCCUGAGCAAAGAUGGACUUAAGAGUUUCUGCAGUGGUUUCAUGCUUUUAAAGGUACACAUGCGUUCAAACAAGAUCUCAUCUCUGGGUUAGGGUAAACUGUUAAGAUUUAAACUUACCCAUUGUACCUUCCACCAUGGGGCUUGCAACCGUCACAUGUGUCUUGAGCAGUUAAAAGAUAGAACGGUCUAGUCAAGCACCAUGUCUCUUGUUCUUCGAUUAACUAAAGCUCUGGAGUUUUUGCAGAUUUUCAAAUAAAACUCAGAGAUUCCUUGUAUGACUCUCUCAGAUCUCUCUUUUGUGGUAUUUCUGGAUCCUUACCAAGAUAGUGAUGGUAUAUGCCUUCUCUCAAAGUAUGUGGUAUUUGUGGUAUAAGGCAUAGUGACAUUGCCUUCUCUCUCACCCUACUCUAAUAAGGUUUUGAUAUCUGGAGCUCAUAGGUGGGAGACAGCUAAUACAUACUUACAAGACAUUUAUUGCAUAGUCAAACCAUGGAUCCAGAAGAACAAGUCAAUAAGUCAAAUCAAGAUGUGUAUGUGUGGCGAAUGAAUGGUGAUAACAAUGGUGAUGAUGGUGCUAACAAUGGUGAAAGUCUAAUUCUACUUGUGCUCUUUUGAGGGGAUACAUACCUUCCUUGCUCUUUUGAAACUUUUGGGGAGAAUGAGAUGCUCUAUAUUUUCUUUUUCUUUUCUCUCAGGUGGGUAUCUUGUACCCCUAAUUCUACUGUCGGACACUUGUCCAUUUUUACCUCUCGUCUCACUUUUUCUUUUCUUUUCUUUCGAGGUUCCGGGCACUUGCCCCUUUUUAUUUCCUCGUAUUUAUUUUUUUCUCUCUUCUUUUUUUUUUCUUUUUUUUAGAGCACUCAUCUCCUGAAAUAAUAUAGCAAGUGGUAGUAACCAAGAUAACUUGAGCAUUUAUUUCAAAGGGGAAAAAUAGAAAUAUUUUUGGCUAUUCUCUCCCGGAUUAGGAGUAGAAUAUUUUUGGGUGACUCUAGAGAUGGAAAUAGAUGGAUAUAUGUAGAUGCGUACUUCCGGAGUAGAAGCAACAUGUAUGAGUGAAGGUGCAAGUGAAUCUUGAUUUUAACCACAUGACAUGCUCCUAAGGGUCUACACAGCUUGACCACACUCAAUGCUCAUAAGCAGUAAAAAGUAAAUAUGUGGCUCAAAGUCUAGCAAGCAUGUAUAUAUGGCUGUGGUAGGAAUUUAAACUCUCAUCAUACAGGAACUCAUCAUGCAACAUUUUAAAGAUUUUCAAAGAGAAAAUUCUCCAGAAUUCUAGCAUCUCUAGGAACAGAUAAACAGCAGCUCAACCUUCCCAUAUCGUAUCCGUUAACGACUUAGACUUUAGAUCAAGUACUCUCCCCACAAGUUCAGGUUUAGAGCAAAUCUUAAUUAAUAUCAGUCAUGCCUAAACAUGAGAGAGAUUUCAAUUUUAAGAACUAGUCAUGGCAGAGCAACUAUUCAUCAUUUCCAUGUGAGAUCUUAUCAUGAGGGUUCAUAGCAAAUUUUAUUUAUUUAUUUAUUUAGCAAACAAAGCAAAGAUAUAUAUAAGUACAAAAUCUUUAUUUGGGUUUCUAUGAUUAUGUAUCUUUUUAUUAUUAGAGUAAAGUAUAAACAUGAGUAGAAUACUUAGCUGGAUAAAUGGGGGUGCUAUCCCCCAAGCUGGAUUUUGACGUAGUUUCUUCUAAUGUAGCUAGCAAGUGGUGGAGGUGUAUUUGAAUGUCAGCAGCACCCUGACAGCGAUUAGGAUGUCCUCCGUCUGCUAGUCUUCUUUGAUCCUUGAAUUCUGUGGAGCUCAAAUAGACAACAAAGCUUUGUGGAACUAGUUAAGUGUUAGCAUAAAUAUCUAGCCUUUAUCAUGUUGAGCCUCCUCAAUAAAUGUUACUCUCUUUGGUAGGAUCAUAAAUCUAUUUUUAUAAUUUUAUUUUUAUAGGACAGGAAUAUAUUUAUUUUAUUUUUAUGCCACCACAGUGAAUGUACUUAUGGGUUUUAUGCCAUAAGCAUACUCACAUGGGGCUUACUUAACAUUUUUAUUUUCUUUUCAAGAUGAUAUGAACCUGAUU
rnacentral:lncRNA from 1 species